UACGUAGGUGGCAAGCGUUGUCCGGAUUUACUGGGCGUAAAGAGCGCGCAGGCGGUCGUUCAAGUCGCGUGUGAAAGCCCCCGGCUCAACUGGGGAGGGUCACGCGAUACUGAUCGACUCGAAGGCAGGAGAGGGAAGUGGAAUUCCCGGUGUAGUGGUGAAAUGCGUAGAGAUGCGGAGGAACACCGAUGGCGAAGGCAGCCCCCUGGGCUAACACUGACGCUCAGGCACGAAAGCGUGGGGAGCAAACAGG
rnacentral:rRNA from 1 species